GAUGAAGAACGUAGCGAAAUGCGAUAAGUAGUGUGAAUUGCAGAAUUCAGUGAAUCAUCGAAUCUUUGAACGCACAUUGCGCCCCUUGGUAUCCCGAGGGGCAUGCCUGUUCGAGCGUCAUUUCACCACUCAAGCCUGGCUUGGUGUUGGGCGACGUCCCCUUUGGGGACGCGCCUCGAAACGCUCGGCGGCGUGGCACCGGCUUUAAGCGUAGCAGAAUCUUUCGCUUUGGAAGUCGGGGCCCCGUCUGCCGGAAGACCUACUCGCUAGGUUGACCUCGGAUCAGGCAGGGAUACCCGCUGAACUUAAGCAUAUCAAUAAGCGGAGGA
rnacentral:misc_RNA from 1 species